GACGAACGCUGGCGGCGUGCUUAAUACAUGCAAGUCGAACGGAAAGGCCCUGCUUUUGUGGGGUGCUCGAGUGGCGAACGGGUGAGUAACACGUGAGUAACCUGCCCUUGACUUUGGGAUAACUUCAGGAAACUGGGGCUAAUACCGGAUAGGAGCUCCUGCUGCAUGGUGGGGGUUGGAAAGUUUCGGUGGUUGGGGAUGGACUCGCGGCUUAUCAGCUUGUUGGUGGGGUAGUGGCUUACCAAGGCUUUGACGGGUAGCCGGCCUGAGAGGGUGACCGGCCACAUUGGGACUGAGAUACGGCCCAGACUCCUACGGGAGGCAGCAGUGGGGAAUAUUGCACAAUGGGCGGAAGCCUGAUGCAGCAACGCCGCGUGCGGGAUGACGGCCUUCGGGUUGUAAACCGCUUUCGCCUGUGACGAAGCGUGAGUGACGGUAAUGGGUAAAGAAGCACCGGCUAACUACGUG
rnacentral:rRNA from 1 species